UCUUGUGGCUGCUAGCUCAUGAGCACAAGGGUGCAGCAUCCUCUAAAAAGAGCUGUUCGAUCCUAUAUAUUUACUCGGAAAUUUGCUCCUGAGCAAUCAACAGGCCUUAGUCUCGGUAAUUGUGCAAAUAAUUGUAGCCCUAACCAAGAAACGAAGACUAACUUAACAGCACAGAUUUAUGAACGAAAAAUACACAAGGGACGCCCGUAAUUCAUCCUUCUCGCAACGUGCAGCGUGGGAGUCACUUUUUCCCCAGCUUGAGCCAAGUCGGAGAGAGGAGUUUCACUUACACGUGACCACAUCGCGUCCUUAUGGGCUGGUGGAGCACCUCCAAACAGAUGGAGCAGUCAAAAGAUGGGACCUGCGGCUGUUUCUCCUCUUCUACCGUACCCAACUGUAGAGUGGUCGCCACCUCCCGAUUGUCGCUGCUUAGUACGGAUCCCAUCGUCUAAAGAUACUUUUGGGAGGUAACAAGUCUCUUGGCGCCGGCUGGUCCUGCUGUUGCCGAACUUGCAGCGCACUAUAAUGCUUUGCAGCUAGAAUUUUUUUCCCCCGAUUGCAGGAUUUCACCUUGCAGCAAAGGAAAAGCCGCGGGAGCCGCAAAUCUCACUCUGUGGAACGAACUCUCCGAGACCACGUUAGGACCGUCUGUUGCGGCAGCACCGUCGACACCCUGCAAAAAUAUUCUUGGUGGCGGCAGGGCCAGUCCAAGCCGGCACGGAGAAACCUGACACCCUCAGCUAGACAAAAGGGGGGAACUGGCCAAUCGGUGGCCUGGGUUGCCAGGAAAAAGAAGCAGUUUGUCUGAACAUCAUAUUGUUUAUUUCCAUCAAGGAACUUGGAUCUACUACUGUCGAUCAUCUUUCUAAUGUAAAUGCUGCUGAUCAGGCUGCAGCUCAUGGCAUAAAACCGUAGUGGAUAAAAACAGAACGACUAAUGGAGAAGAGAAGGGGCCCAAAAGAAACUUUGUACCCCCUGAUAAAAUUCCUCUCAAAGGCCCUGCUGGACGAGCUUAAUCAGUGUACAGAAUCAGUAAUGGACUGGAACAGAAGCAUGAUCAUCACAAGGGUGGUGGUUCAUCUGAUUUGAUAGGUGGUAUUCUGGAUAGAGUUACAUUCUCCCUUGAAGAAUCAGGCCUGCUGUCUAGAGGUGCUGUUCAUUCAGCAGCAGUUUAUUCAGAAUUGUCUUGGAGAGACACAACCAGGUUUACAAGACCUCUGAAUACUCCUGGACUUGCCGUCUUCUAUCUCAUGGUCAAAGUGCCAAUUCUAAAUCUCCAUACAAUCGUAUGUAGUCACUGAUUUUUGAAAGGAUGUUCUCUGCUUCCUGGUUGUGUUAUAUAAUAUCUAAACAGUGGCACUUAUUUGGUUGUGUCCAACAUUUAUAGCUGAUGGCAGCCUUGGAUAUCUGAUGUGCUUUGAUCUUCUUGGUGAGAUUCUUCAAGUCUUUGCCUCCUCUGUGUGUCCAUGUCUUCUCACUUACAAAUAGCAAAUACAGGAAGAGAACAAUGCAUCUUUGAACGAUCUUCCACAUACCUAUUUCUUCCUUUUAUACCACACUAUGAAACAUUUCCUGGAGUAUAUUUUUCUUCUGUCACUUGCAGCUUGCUGCAGCAACAGUAAAGGACUGUCCAGUUCUUUAAUUCUGUCCUUGUCUUCUAAAGGUGGUCCAGAGAAAAAGGUUACCAGGAAGGCUUCUACUUUAUUCAACCUGUAAAAUAAAAACAAAGACAA